rnacentral:rRNA from 1 species
GUACGGGAGGCAGCAGCUAAGAAUCUUCCGCAAUGGGCGCAAGCCUGACGGAGCGACGCCGCGUGAAUGACGAAGGCCGAAAGGUUGUAAAGUUCUUUUCUUGGGGAAGAAUAAGGAGUGCAGUGGAAUGGUACUCUGAUGACAUUAACCGAGGAAUAAGCCCCGGCCAAUUACGUGCCAGCAGCCGCGGUAAUACGUAAGGGGCAAGCGUUGUUCGGAAUUAUUGGGCGUAAAGGGCGUGUAGGCGGUUUUGUAAGUCCGAUGUGAAAUACCACAGCCUAACUGUGGGAACGCGUCGGAAACUGCAAGACUAGAGUUCAGGAGGGGAAGCUGGAAUUCCUGGUGUAGGGGUGAAAUCUGUAGAUAUCAGGAAGAACACCGAUGGCGAAGGCAAGCUUCUGGACAUGGACUGACGCUGAGGCGCGAAAGCGUGGGGAGCAAACAGGAUUAGAUACCCGAGUAGUCU